rnacentral:rRNA from 1 species
GUCCUGGCAGUAAACGGUGCACACUUGGUGUGGGAGGAUUCGACCCCUCCUGUGCCGGAGCUAACGCGUUAAGUGUGCCGCCUGGGAAGUACGGUCGCAAGAUUAAAACUCAAAGAAAUUGACGGGGACCCGCACAAGCGGUGGAGUAUGUGGCUUAAUUCGAUGCAACGCGAAGAACCUUACCUGGUCUUGACAUGCAUCUUGUCGCCUGUGAAAGCAGGCUAGGGUAGCAAUACCCGAUUUGCACAGGUGCUGCAUGGCUGUCGU